rnacentral:rRNA from 1 species
CUUUGCUGACGAGCGGCGGACGGGUGAGUAAUGCUUGGGAACAUGCCUUGAGGUGGGGGACAACAGUUGGAAACGACUGCUAAUACCGCAUAAUGUCUACGGACCAAAGGGGGCUUCGGCUCUCGCCUUUAGAUUGGCCCAAGUGGGAUUAGCUAGUUGGUGAGGUAAUGGCUCACCAAGGCGACGAUCCCUAGCUGGUUUGAGAGGAUGAUCAGCCACACUGGGACUGAGACACGGCCCAGACUCCUACGGGAGGCAGCAGUGGGGAAUAUUGCACAAUGGGCGCAAGCCUGAUGCAGCCAUGCCGCGUGUGUGAAGAAGGCCUUCGGGUUGUAAAGCACUUUCAGUCAGGAGGAAAGGUUAGUAGUUAAUACCUGCUAGCUGUGACGUUACUGACAGAAGAAGCACCGGCUAACUCCGUGCCAGCAGCCGCGGUAAUACGGAGGGUGCGAGCGUUAAUCGGAAUUACUGGGCGUAAAGCGUACGCAGGCGGUUUGUUAAGCGAGAUGUGAAAGCCCCGGGCUCAACCUGGGAACUGCAUUUCGAACUGGCAAACUAGAGUGUGAUAGAGGGUGGUAGAAUUUCAGGUGUAGCGGUGAAAUGCGUAGAGAUCUGAAGGAAUACCGAUGGCGAAGGCAGCCACCUGGGUCAACACUGACGCUCAUGUACGAAAGCGUGGGGAGCAAACGGGAUUAGAUACCCCGGUAGUCCACGCCGUAAACGAUGUCUACUAGAAGCUCGGAGCCUCGGUUCUGUUUUUCAAAGCUAACGCAUUAAGUAGACCGCCUGGGGAGUACGGCCGCAAGGUUAAAACUCAAAUGAAUUGACGGGGGCCC